ACAGAAGAAUCAUGGUAUGCACUUUUGGGUAUUAGCAAAAGCGUUACGUAUGUCUAGUGGAGAUCAUAUUCACGCUGGUACCGUAGUAGGUAAACUUGAAGGUGAAAAAGACAUAACUUUGGGCUUUGUUGAUUUAUUGCGUGAUGAUUUUGUUGAACAAGAUCGAAGACGCAGUAUUUAUUUCACUCAAGAUUGGGUCUCUUUACCAAGUGUUUUACCUGUGGCUUCAGGAGGUAUUCAUGUUUGGCAUAUGCCUGCUCUGAUCGAGAUCUUUGGGGAUGAUUCCGUACUACUGUUCGGUGGAGGAACUUUAGGACAUCCUUGGGGUAAUGCGCCAGGUGCCAUAGCUAAUCGAGUAGCUCUAGAAGCAUGUGUAAAAGCUAGUAAUGAAGGACGCAAUCUUGCUCGGGAAGGUAAUAAGAUUAUUCGUGAGGCUUCUAAAUGGAGCCCGAAACUAGCUGCUGCUUCUGAGGUAUGGAAAGAGAUCGUAUUUAAUUUUGCAGCAGUGAACAUUUUGGCUAAGUAAAAAGAGUAGACAUUAGCAGGAAAUAACGAAGGAUAAGGAGAAAGAACUCAAGUAAUUAUCCUUCGUUCUCUUAAUUGAAUUGCAAUUAAACUCGGCCCAAUCUUUUACUAAAAGGAUUGAGCCGAAUACAACAAAAAUUCUAUUGCAUAUAUUUUGACUAAGUAUAUACUUACCUAGAUAUACAAGAUUUGAAAUACAAAAUCUAGAAAACUAAAUAAAAAUCUAAGACUCAAAUCUUUCUAUUGUUGUCUUGGAUCCACAAUAAAUCCUACGGAUUCUUAGGAUUGGUAUAUUUUUUUCUAUCCUGUAGUUUUUAGUUGCCCUAAUUCAAGCCAAGUAGCACAACUCUUUCUACUCAUCCUGUAUAUUGUCCCCUUUGUUCCGUUCUGUGUUGAAAUGGAAGCAACAUUUAUUACUUAUUAUUUUAUUAGAUUUUAGAUUAGUUAGUUAUUAGAUAAUAGUAUUAGACGAGAUUUUAAGAAAAUUUUUUUGAUUUCUUUAUAGGAGUAUAGGAGAGGACAAAUCUCUUUUUUUCGAUGCGAAUUUGACACGACAUAGGAGAAGCCGCCCCUUAUCAAAAAUUAUAUUAUUAUAUUUAUAUUAUUUUUAAUAAUAAAAUAAUAAAAGGGGGUUCCGACAUAUUAAUAUAUAGUGAAGUGUUCCCCCAGAUUCAGAACUUUUUUUCAAUACUCACUAAUAAUCCUACUAAUAAUCCUAGUGAUUGGAUUUCUAUGCUUAGUCUGAUAGGAAAUAAGAUAUUCAAAUAAAUAAUUUUAUAGCGAAUGACUAUUCAUCUAUUGUAUUUUCAUGCAAAUAGGGGGCAAGAAAACUCUAUGGAAAGAUGGUGGUUUAAUUCGAUGUUGUUUAAGAAGGAGUUCGAACGCAGGUGUGGGCUAAAUAAAUCAAUGGGCAGUCUUGGUCCUAUUGAAAAUACCAGUGAAGAUCCAAAUCGAAAAGUGAAAAACAUUCCUAGUUGCAGUAAUGUUGAUUAUUUAUUCGGCGUUAAAGACAUUCGGAAUUUCAUCUCUGAUGACACUUUUGUAGUUAGUGAUAGGAAUGGAGACAGUUAUUCCAUCUAUUUUGAUAUUGAAAAUCAGAUUUUUGAGAUUGACAACGAUCAUUCUUUUCUGAGUGAACUAGAAAGUUCUUUUUAUAGUUAUCGAAACUCGAGUUAUCUGAAUAAUGGAUUUAGGGGCGAAGAUCCCUACUAUAAUUCUUACAUGUAUGAUACUCAAUAUAGUUGGAAUAAUCACAUUAAUAGUUGCAUUGAUAAUUAUCUUCAGUCUCAAAUCUGUAUAGAUACUUCCAUUAUAAGUGGUAGUGAGAAUUACAGUGACAGUUACAUUUAUAGGGCCGUUUGUGGUGGUGAAAGUAAAAAUAGUAGUGAAAACGAGGGUUCCAGUAUACAAACUCGCACAAAGGGCAGUGAUUUAACUAUAAGAGAAAGUUCUAAUGGCAGUGAUUUAACUAUUGGCAGUGAUUUAACUAAUGGCAGUGAUUUAACUAUUGGCAGUGAUUUAACUAAUGGCAGUGAUUUAACUAUAAGAGAAAGUUCUAAUGAUCUCGAGGUAACUCAAAAAUACAGGCAUUUGUGGGUUCAAUGCGAGAAUUGUUAUGGAUUAAAUUAUAAGAAAUUUUUUAAAUCAAAAAUGAAUAUUUGUGAACAAUGUGGAUAUCAUUUGAAAAUGAGUAGUUCGGAUAGAAUUGAACUUUUGGUCGAUCCGGGUACUUGGGAUCCUAUGGAUGAAGACAUGGUCUCUCUGGAUCCCAUUGAAUUUCAUUCGGAAGAGGAGCCUUAUAAAGAUCGUAUUGAUUCUUAUCAAAGAAAGACAGGAUUAACCGAGGCUGUUCAAACAGGCAUAGGCCAAAUAAACGGCAUUCCCGUAGCAAUUGGGGUUAUGGAUUUUCAGUUUAUGGGGGGUAGUAUGGGAUCCGUAGUCGGAGAGAAAAUCACCCGUUUGAUUGAACACGCUGCCAAUCAAAUUUUACCUCUUAUUAUAGUGUGUGCUUCUGGGGGGGCGCGCAUGCAGGAAGGAAGUUUGAGCUUGAUGCAAAUGGCUAAAAUAUCGUCUGCUUUAUAUGAUUAUCAAUUAAAUAAAAAAUUAUUUUAUGUAUCAAUCCUUACAUCUCCGACAACUGGUGGAGUGACAGCUAGUUUUGGUAUGUUGGGGGAUAUCAUUAUUGCCGAACCCAAUGCCUACAUUGCAUUUGCAGGUAAAAGAGUAAUUGAACAAACAUUGAAUAAAACAGUACCCGAAGGUUCACAAGUAGCUGAAUACUUAUUCCAGAAGGGUUUAUUCGACCUAAUUGUACCACGUAAUCUUUUAAAAAGCGUUCUGAGUGAGUUAUUUAAGCUCCACGCCUUUUUUCCUUUGAAUCAAAAGUCAAGCAAAAUCAAGUAGAGCACUAAGGCCAUUAUUUUAUUUUAUUUGUGUUUGUAGCAAAAAAGUAGUUAGUUUAUCGGAAUCAAAGUAAAUAAGAUAAAGUAAAUAAGAUAAUAAUGGCCCUUUCUUUGGUGAUAGAAGAUCUAAUUGUAGAAAGAAUCAAAACUAAAGUUGAGGAUAACUCUUUUUUGACCUAUAUUCCUGAUUACGAAUCAAGAAGCCUUUAUCACCAAGAGUGAGUUCUUCCUUUCGUGAAAUUAGGAAAAUAAAACGAAUUUCUUCUUGUCUUAGGUAUAUAAUUUGAAAUUAAAAUAUAGAUAAUAGAGUUUUGUAUCUUUCUCUAUCUCCCUAAAAACCAUUUUAGCUAAAAAUUCAUGUUGGGUCGGAUUCGAACGAAUCUUUCGAUAAUCUCUUUAUCUAUUUUUAGAAAAUUAGAAGACAAGAACAAAAGACAAAGAAAUGAAUAAUAAAGUUUAUUAUGAUACAUAUCUUUCUCAUGUAAGAGAUGAAUAAGUCCAUUUAUUUAGUUCUACAUUCUUUGCACUUAUUCUUAUUAUACGUACUCAGUUAGAUUUAGAUAUAUAGAUACUUAGAUCUAUACUAAGAAUUUCAAAUUCUUCAAAUUCUAUUAAUAAUAAAUAUUAUCUAAUUAGAAUUCAAAUUCUUAAUUUAAUUAUAAUUAUUUAAUUAUUACAAGAUAUCUUUAUUUAUAUAAUAACAUAAUAACAGAUACAAUAUAGUAAAUCGAGGUACCCCUUCUAUGACAAAUUUGAACCUUCCAUCUAUUUUUGUGCCGUUAGUAGGCCUAGUCUUUCCGGCAAUUGCAAUGGCUUCUUUAUUUAUUCAUGUUCAAAAAAACAAGAUUGUUUAGAUACGCUGGGACCCAAUCUCAUCCAUUUUUUUUUGAAAACGUGGACUUGUAUCAUAACACGGAUAUCUAUUUAUUGGAAUAGAGUAUAACAUGUGAUUUCUACCGAACAUAAAGGAAAAAACUCUUAUGCCUGCAGAAACAUGAUAUAUGGAUAUAUCCAUUCUAGUAAUUUUCAAAUAGAUCAGGAUCACUGGAUGGCUGAAAUGUAGUCGGUUAAUCUCUAUGUAUAUCGAUAUGUAUAGUGGGAUCGUAUUAAAUAAAGAGUAUGUUAUUAUUUUAGAUUUAACCAAUUUGAUGAAUUACUCCUAAAGGUUGACAUCAAACUAGUGCUAGUUCACCUCAAACUAGUGCUAGUUGAUGAGAUUUACUUCGGAAACAAAAAAGUAAAGUCAAAUUUCUAAGGGUAUUAUCUCAAUUCUAAUAAAAUGCAAUCGGGUUAAAGUAUGACUUGGCGAUCAGAACAUAUAUGGAUAGAACUUAUAACGGUGUCUCGAAAAAUAAGUAAUUUCUGCUGGGCCUUUAUCGUUUUUUUAGGUUUAUUAGGCUUCUUAUUAUUUGGAACUUCCAGUUAUCUUGGUAGAAAUUUGAUAUCUUUUUUUCUGCCUCAGCAAAUCAUUUUUUUCAACAAGGAAUCGUGAUGUCUUUCUAUGGAAUUGCGGGUCUCUUUAUUAUCUCUUAUUUAUGGUACACAAUUUCCUGGAAUGUAGGUAGUGGUUAUGACCGAGUCGAUAUAAAGGAAGGAAUAGUCCAUUUUUUUUGUUGGGGAUUUUUGGGAAAAAUCAUCGCAUAUUCCUCUGAUUCCUUAUAAAAGAUAUUCAGUCCGUUAGAAUAGAAGUUAAAGAGGGUAUUUAUGCUCGUCGUGUUCUUUAUAUGGACAUCCGAGGCCAGGGGUCCAUUCCCUUAACCCGUACUGAUGAGAAUUUGACUCCUCGAGAAAUUGAACAAAAGGAUGCUGAAUUAGCCUAUUUCUUGUGUGUAGCAAUUGAAGUAUUUUGAGAAAUUGAGAAUCAGAACGUUCAUUAAAUUAAAGAAAACAUAUAUGAAAGAACCAUAAAAUGAAACUCUUUUUAUGGUCAUUAUGCGUAUGUAAACCCACGCAAUUCAAUAACAAAUAACAAAUCAAAAUAAUAGAUUCAUCUCAGAUGGCAAACUAUUUCGAAAUCAAGGAAUUGUUUUUAGUUCAACAUUUGUUGGAAUUGACACUUUAGAUCCAGAUAGAUCAUAUCUUGUAAAUUGGAAAUUCUUUAUUUUUUAUUCUUUAAUGACCAACAAUUGGAUUUCUUAAUUAAAUAAUGAGAACUAGCCAAUUUAACUUUCGCCAGUCAUUUUUUUUAUCAUCGUAAUAUCUUUCCCUCAAUUAUUCUAUUCCUGACUAUGGGUAAUUAGUGAAAUUUUUUCGAAAUAUUGGAUAUUUUGAUAGCAAGGGAGUUCUUUCUUCUCAAAAUAUGAACAAUAUUCACUACUUAAAGUGGUUCUUUCAAUCAUUCAUCGAAAUAAGACACUUGAUUUUGAAUUUGACAAUUGAGAUAUCAUGAAACAAUAUUCUCAAUUUCUUCAUUCGAAGUGAAUUCUUAGCCUAUUUCUGUAUUCUUUCUAGAUUCAAAGACUAACCACAAAAUAACAAAGAAAAUAGAUUAAUAAGUUUGAUACCUUGUAUAAAACUCACGUGUGUAAGAAAUAUUCGAUCGUAUAGAGUGUACGGAUGGGUUGAUUAAUAAUUCACAGAUGAAAAAAUGGCAAAAAAGAAAGCAUUCACCCGUCUUUUCUAUCUUGCAUAUAUAGUAUUUUUGCCCUGGUGGAUUUCUUUCUCAGUUAAUAAAUGUCUGGAAUCUUGGGUUACUAAUUGGUGGAAUACUGGGCAAUCCGAAAUUUUCUUGAAUACUAUUCAAGAAAAGAGUCUUCUAGAAAAAUUCAUAGAAUUAGAGGAACUCCUCUUCUUGGACGAAAUGAUCAAGGAAUACUCGGAAACACAUCUCGAAGAGUUUGGGAUAGGAAUCCAUAAAGAAACGAUCCAAUUAAUCAAGAUGCAAAAUGAGAAUCGUAUCCAUACGAUUUUGCACUUCUCAACAAAUAUCAUCUGUUUUAUUAUUCUAAGCGGGUAUUCAAUUUUGGGUAAUGAAAAACUUGUUAUUCUUAACUCUUGGGCUCAGGAAUUCCUAUAUAACGUAAGUGACACAGUAAAAGCUUUUUCUAUUCUUUUAUUAACUGAUUUAUGUAUCGGAUUCCAUUCACCCCGCGGUUGGGAAUUAAUUAUUGGCUCUAUCUAUAAAGAUUUUGGGUUUGUUCAUAAUGAUCAAAUUAUAUCUGGUCUUGUUUCCACCUUCCCAGUCAUUCUCGAUACAAUUUUUAAAUAUUGGAUUUUCCGUUAUUUAAAUCGUCUGUCUCCGUCACUUGUAGUUAUUUAUCAUUCAAUGAAUGACUGAUAAAGGAUCCAUUGAUAUUAAUCUAAUCCAAUUAGAAUGCUUGGUACUUUGUAGUUGUACAUAAGCAAAGUAUUGAAAAUCGUAUUUUAUCUUUCUAUUUCUAACCAUCGGGAAGAUUCAUCCUAUAUUAUUUCUAGAUUAUUCCAGCAAAUAGCAGAAUCGUGGCUAGGGAACUAUACUAGCGACCUACCCAAUUUAUUGUAGAAAUUUUCGCGAUCAAUGAUUGGACCAUGCAAACUAGAAAUGCUUUUUCUUGGCUAAAGAAACAGAUUACUCGAUCUAUUUCCGUAUCGCUCAUGAUAUAUAUCUUAACUCGGACAUCCAUUUCAAGUGCAUAUCCCAUUUUUGCACAGCAGGGUUAUGAAAAUCCACGAGAAGCGACUGGGCGUAUUGUAUGUGCCAAUUGCCAUUUAGCUAAUAAGCCCGUGGAGAUUGAGGUUCCACAAGCGGUACUUCCUGAUACUAUAUUUGAAGUAGUUAUUCAAAUUCCUUAUGAUAUACAACUGAAACAGAUUCUUGCUAAUAGUAAAAAAGGGGGGUUAAACGUGGAGGCUGUUCUUAUUUUACUGGAGGGGUUUGAUUUAGCUCCCCCCAAUCGUAUUUCUCCCAAGAUGAAAGAAAGGAUUGGCAAUAUGUCUUUUCAGAGCUAUCGCCCCAAUAAAAAAAAUAUUCUUGUGGUAGGCCCUAUCCCUGGUAAAAAAUAUAGUAAAAUAAUCUUCCCUAUUCUUUCCCCGGACCCUGCUACUACGAAGGAUGUACACUUCUUAAAAUAUGCUAUAUACAUAGGCGGUAACAGGGGAAGGGGUCAGAUUUAUCCCGACGGCAGCAAGAGUAACAAUAUGGUUUAUAAUGCUACAGCAGCAGGUAUAGUAAGCAAAAUCAUACGAAAAAAAAAGGGGGAUAUGAGAUUACCAUAACGGAUGCGUCAGAGGGACGUCAAGUGGUUGAUAUUAUCCCUCCCAGACCAGAACUUCUUAUUUCCGAGGACGAAUCUAUCAAAUUUGAUCAACCAUUAAUGAGUAAUCCUAAUGUAGGCGAAUUUGGUCAGGGAGAUAUAGAAAUACUACUUCAAGAUUCAUUACGUGUCCAAGGACUUUUGUUCUUCUUGGGAUCUAUUAUUUUGGCACAAAUAUUUUUGGUUCUUAAAAAGAAACAGUUCGAGAAGGUUCAAUUGGCCGAAAUGAAUUUCUAGAUUCACAGAUUUAUCGAUAUCAAGUUCGUAAAAAGAACCAAAUUCUUGUUGGCGAUUAUUUAUGAUCAAAAAAAUAAAAAAAAUUAAAUUCUGUGAAAACUCCU
rnacentral:lncRNA from 1 species